AUUGAACGCUGGCGGCAGGCCUAACACAUGCAAGUCGAGCGAGCGGCGGACGGGUGAGUAACGUAUGGGGAUCUGCCCGGUAGAGGGGGAUAACUGCUGGAAACGGUGGCUAAUACCGCAUAUUAUCGGAGGAGCCCAUAUUGGAUUAGCUAGUGGGUGGGGUAAAGGCUCACCUAGGCGACGAUCCGUAGCUGGUCUGAGAGGAUGAUCCGCCACACUGGGACUGAGACACGGCCCAGACUCCUACGGGAGGCAGCAGUGGGGAAUAUUGGACAAUGGGCGCAAGCCUGAUGCAGCCAUGCCGCGUGUAUGAAGAAGGCCUUAGGGUUGUAAAGUACUUUUAGCAGGGAGGCGUUACCCGAAGAAGAAGCACCGGCUAACUACGUGCCAGCAGCCGCGGUAAUUC
rnacentral:rRNA from 1 species